UGAUAUUGAAAAUAUCCCACAAGUGAGGGAAUGACCCAUAAAUUGAGUUAUGAAGGUCAUAGUCUAUGAAGUGCAGCUAUUUUCCAUAUUUCUGCAAAGAAUUCAAGCUGAUGGGAUGAGUCUUUUUGCCUCUUUCUCGGUAUGAUGAAGCAAUUGACAAAGCCUUUGUGUUGUGAUGUCCCACGAUACCCCAUUUGGAUUCAGUACUCUUUCCUGACGGGCAGGAGAUAACGCCUUGUGUAAGAAUUCAGCGUUUUGCAUUAGGUGAAGUGGUUUCCGUGUUUGGUAAAGCAGUUGAAAAAUAAAAUCAUAAGAAGGAGACGUGAUCACAAUUGACAGAGGAGGGAUGAGGAGAAUAUUUCUUUAAGCUUCAGAAAAAGUGGAAGUUCACAGACUCGGUUUGCAUUUAAUCAACAAAGGAAGAGCACAUACUGUGAUGAAAACACUUGCCCCAUUGCUUUCAGUGGAAUGCGGAUAUAAGAAUGGAUCCAGGAAUCAAUCCUGUAUCUCUGAGCUGUUUGGACACUUUCAGGGAGCAAUCCAGAGUUUCUCUGAGGAUUUUGAGAAGAAAUUUAGAAAGUAUUUUGCAUUCAACUCAUGAAAAACAACAUCCUGGGAGCAGGUCAAGUUCUCCUAUGCUUCUGCUCAUUUGGCUUUGACAGGGGAAUGUACGUGCAAACCCCAAAGUGGAGGAGGUUUGGCAGACACUGCUUUCUUCCUACCAGCAUCACUUCCAUCAUGCGCAUGUUUAGUAUCAGCCAGUUAGUUUCUUAUCUCAGUGCCUUUUAUCCAGAGGGGUAGCUGGUUGAGAGUAUUUCCAUGUGUGCAACUUAUUCAAUUGAAUCUCAUCUCCAAGACAUGCAUAGUUGUGAUCUGAAUGAUGUUUGAAUCCCGGACCAAUAGUUUUCUAUAUAUAAAUCCAAUAUUUGUAUAUUGUUCUGAAAUAAACUUGUAAUUCACAUACCUGUGCUUCACUUCAAUAUGAAAGGCUACUUAUAUUGACUUCUCUAUUUAUGUCGUUUGUGUAGCAUGCCGGAAUGACACUUCUCAGCUCAUUUGCAAUAAUCCAUCAGAGUCUUUCUUGGA